UACGGGGGGGUGCGAGCGUUGUCCGGAAUCACUGGGCGUAAAGGGCGCGUAGGUGGUUUGAUAAGGGUGUGGUGAAAGCCCGGGGCUCAACCCCGGGUCUGCCGUGCCGACUGUCAAACUCGAGGGCUGUAGAGGCAGACGGAAUUCCGGGUGUAGCGGUGGAAUGCGCAGAUAUCAGGAGGAACACCGGCGGCGAAGGCGGGGUCUCUGGGCCGUAACUGACGCUGAGGAGCGAAAGCGUGGGGAGCGAACAGG
rnacentral:rRNA from 1 species